rnacentral:rRNA from 1 species
UACGUAGGGUGCAAGCGUUGUCCGGAAUUAUUGGGCGUAAAGAGCUCGUAGGCGGUUUGUCGCGUCUGCUGUGAAAACUCGGGGCUUAACCCCGGGCCUGCAGUGGGUACGGGCAGACUAGAGUGCGGUAGGAGAGACUGGAAUUCCUGGUGUAGCGGUGAAAUGCGCAGAUAUCAGGAGGAACACCGGUGGCGAAGGCGGGUCUCUGGGCCGUAACUGACGCUGAGGAGCGAAAGCAUGGGGAGCGAACAGG